rnacentral:piRNA from 1 species
UGCCUGAACUUUAAGGCCUAUCUAUAA